CGGACCGGCGCACGGGUGAGUAACACGUAUCCAACCUGCCGUCUACUCUUGGCCAGCCUUCUGAAGGAAGAUUAAUCCAGGAUGGGAUCAUGAGUUCACAUGUCCGCAUGAUUAAAGGUAUUUUCCGGUAGACGAUGGGGAUGCGUUCCGUUAGAUAGUAGGCGGGGUAACGGCCCACCUAGUCAACGAUGGAUAGGGGUUCUGAGAGGAAGGUCCCCCACAUUGGAACUGAGACACGGUCCAA
rnacentral:rRNA from 1 species